CAAGCUCCGCUUCCUGGGAUCACGCCAUUCUCCUGCCUCAGCCUCCUGAGUAGCUGGGACUACAGGCGCCCGCCACCAUGCCUGGCUAAUUUUUUGUAUUUUUAGUAGAGACGGAGUUUUACCAUGUUAGCCAGGAUGGUCUCCAUCUCCUGACCUCAUGAUCCGCCGCCUUGGCCUCCCAAAGUGCUGGGAUUACAGAUGUGAGCCACUGCGCCUGGCCAAAAAAUGAUUUUUUAAAGGUAUCUUUAAGGCUACUUAAGAAGACAGCUGCUCAUCACAUAGGACUGAAGCACACAAAAAAAGGCUUGAGUUCCAGUCUGGCAGCACUUGGCCUGCUCUGUCUGCCCAGAAUUUAGUGAUCAUCAAACCUGAAAUGUGAAGGAUCACAGGAAGGGUGGUGGAUUCUGGAAGGAUAUCCAGCACCUGCAGACUUAGUGGUUAGAGCUCCCUUGAAGUCCUGUGCAGGAGAAAUACCUAAAACAUAAAACUCAAAGCCAGCCUGCAGCAUCCUUUAUGCUAUCAAAUUGAAUCAGUGGAGAGAGAUGAUCCAAUUCACCACAGAGCUGAAGUGGAAGGAACAAAAUUAAUGAUUCACCCUGAAUAAAUAAAACCUAAAUGGCUUUGGGAGGCUUGGUCCAGAUGGAACUUUGAAAUGCUCUUCAAACAUUUCCAAAGUGCUAGAAGAUCCUAGGAACCUAAAGACUGUGAGGGUGGCAGUGAUGUGAAGAUGACAGUGGUAGUGCCGACAGAGUGAUGAUAAUAACAAUGGCAACGAUGGUGGUCCUGAUUGUCGGGAGGAUGAGGACAGUGGUGAUGAUGUGCAGGUGACAAAGCUGAUGAUGAUGGCGGUGGUAAUCGUGAGUGCAGUGACUAUUAAUCCAGGCCCUUUCCAUUCUACAAUUCUAUUGUUUGGGAUGACAAAGUUGUAUUAGGUCCUUGGUUCAAUUGAAACAAGCAUAUUUCGAAUUAUGCCCAAUUCUCAAACUGAUUAUUUUAUCCAAUAGACAUUUUGCAAGAGAGGAAAAUAUUCAAAGUUCUGUCCUCAGCCCUGAAGAGCACAUUUUAGUAAGAGUCUCAAGGAGUUCAGAGUUGCUAAAGACAGAAUGUUUGCGUUGUCCCAAAAUUCAUAUGUUGAAAUCUUAAUUUUUAGUGUGAUGAUUUUAGGAAGGGGGCUUUCGGUAGGUGAUUAGACGGGUAAUUAGAUUAUCAUCUUCACAAAAGAGACAUCAGAGAGCUCCCUUGCCCCUUGUGCCAUGUGAGGACACAGAGAGAAGACAGCUGAUUAUAAACCAAGAAGGAAACCCUCAGCAGACACUGGAUCUCAUGGCACCUUGAUCCUGGAUUUUCUAGCCUCCAGAACUGUGAGAAAUAAGCUUUGGUUGUUUGUACAUCAUCCAGUCGACAGUAUUCUGCUUUAGCAGCCCAAGAAGACUAUGGAACAGUCUAGGCAAGGAGAUGCAGGAGUAGCAUGAAAUUUUAAGAGGUUUAGGAAACUGCCUGGUGAAGAAACACAGGUCAGUAGAGAAGUGUGAAGGCUCAUUUAACUUUCUAACUGGAGAGAGUCACCGUUGCCAUGAAGAGCAGGCAGAGACGUUAAAGAAGAUCCAUAUUGUGCAAGGCGUGCUGGAUUUUG
rnacentral:lncRNA from 1 species